rnacentral:rRNA from 1 species
GGGUUGUGAGGUUAAGCGACUAAGCGUACACGGUGGAUGCCCUGGCAGUCAGAGGCGAUGAAGGACGUGCUAAUCUGCGAAAAGCGUCGGUAAGGUGAUAUGAACCGUUACAGCCGGCGAUGUCCGAAUGGGGAAACCCAGUGCAAUUCGUUGCACUAUCGUUAACUGAAUACAUAGGUUAACGAGGCGAACCGGGGGAACUGAAACAUCUAAGUACCCCGAGGAAAAGAAAUCAACCGAGAUUCCCCCAGUAGCGGCGAGCGAACGGGGAGCAGCCCAGAGUCUGAAUCAGCUUGUGUGUUAGUGGAACGGUCUGGAAAGUCCGACGGUACAGGGUGAUAGUCCCGUACACCAAAAUGCACAGGUUGUGAACUCGAAGAGUAGGGCGGGACACGUGGUAUCCUGUCUGAAUAUGGGGGGACCAUCCUCCAAGGCUAAAUACUCCUGACUGACCGAUAGUGAACCAGUACCGUGAGGGAAAGGCGAAAAGAACCCCGGCGAGGGGAGUGAAAAAGAACCUGAAACCGUGUACGUACAAGCAGUGGGAGCACCUUCGGGUGUGACUGCGUACCUUUUGUAUAAUGGGUCAGCGACUUAUAUUCUGUAGCAAGGUUAACCGUAUAGGGGAGCCGCAGGGAAACCGAGUCUUAACUGGGCGUUAAGUUGCAGGGUAUAGACCCGAAACCCGGUGAUCUAGCCAUGGGCAGGUUGAAGGUUGGGUAACACUAACUGGAGGACCGAACCGACUAAUGUUGAAAAAUUAGCGGAUGACUUGUGGCUGGGGGUGAAAGGCCAAUCAAACCGGGAGAUAGCUGGUUCUCCCCGAAAGCUAUUUAGGUAGCGCCUCGUGAACUCAUCUUCGGGGGUAGAGCACUGUUUCGGCUAGGGGGUCAUCCCGACUUACCAACCCGAUGCAAACUACGAAUACCGAAGAAUGUUAUCACGGGAGACACACGGCGGGUGCUAACGUCCGUCGUGAAGAGGGAAACAACCCAGACCGCCAGCUAAGGUCCCAAAGUCAUGGUUAAGUGGGAAACGAUGUGGGAAGGCACAGACAGCCAGGAUGUUGGCUUAGAAGCAGCCAUCAUUUAAAGAAAGCGUAAUAGCUCACUGGUCGAGUCGGCCUGCGCGGAAGAUGUAACGGGGCUAAACCAUGCACCGAAGCUGCGGCAGCGACACUAUGUGUUGUUGGGUAGGGGAGCGUUCUGUAAGCCUGCGAAGGUGUGCUGUGAGGCAUGCUGGAGGUAUCAGAAGUGCGAAUGCUGACAUAAGUAACGAUAAAGCGGGUGAAAAGCCCGCUCGCCGGAAGACCAAGGGUUCCUGUCCAACGUUAAUCGGGGCAGGGUGAGUCGACCCCUAAGGCGAGGCCGAAAGGCGUAGUCGAUGGGAAACAGGUUAAUAUUCCUGUACUUGGUGUUACUGCGAAGGGGGGACGGAGAAGGCUAUGUUAGCCGGGCGACGGUUGUCCCGGUUUAAGCAUGUAGGCUGGUUAUCCAGGCAAAUCCGGAUAAUCAAGGCUGAGGUGUGAUGACGAGGCACUACGGUGCUGAAGUAACAAAUGCCCUGCUUCCAGGAAAAGCCUCUAAGCAUCAGGUAACAUCAAAUCGUACCCCAAACCGACACAGGUGGUCAGGUAGAGAAUACCAAGGCGCUUGAGAGAACUCGGGUGAAGGAACUAGGCAAAAUGGUGCCGUAACUUCGGGAGAAGGCACGCUGGUGUGUAGGUGAAGUCCCUGCGGAUGGAGCUGAGACCAGUCGAAGAUACCAGCUGGCUGCAACUGUUUAUUAAAAACACAGCACUGUGCAAACACGAAAGUGGACGUAUACGGUGUGACGCCUGCCCGGUGCCGGAAGGUUAAUUGAUGGGGUUAUCCGUAAGGAGAAGCUCUUGAUCGAAGCCCCGGUAAACGGCGGCCGUAACUAUAACGGUCCUAAGGUAGCGAAAUUCCUUGUCGGGUAAGUUCCGACCUGCACGAAUGGCGUAAUGAUGGCCAGGCUGUCUCCACCCGAGACUCAGUGAAAUUGAACUCGCUGUGAAGAUGCAGUGUACCCGCGGCAAGACGGAAAGACCCCGUGAACCUUUACUAUAGCUUGACACUGAACAUUGAGCCUUGAUGUGUAGGAUAGGUGGGAGGCUUUGAAGCGUGGACGCCAGUCUGCGUGGAGCCAACCUUGAAAUACCACCCUUUAAUGUUUGAUGUUCUAACGUUGGCCCCUGACCGGGGUUGCGGACAGUGUCUGGUGGGUAGUUUGACUGGGGCGGUCUCCUCCCAAAGCGUAACGGAGGAGCACGAAGGUUAGCUAAUCCCUGGUCGGACAUCAGGAGGUUAGUGCAAUGGCAUAAGCUAGCUUGACUGCGAGCGUGACGGCGCGAGCAGGUGCGAAAGCAGGUCAUAGUGAUCCGGUGGUUCUGAAUGGAAGGGCCAUCGCUCAACGGAUAAAAGGUACUCCGGGGAUAACAGGCUGAUACCGCCCAAGAGUUCAUAUCGACGGCGGUGUUUGGCACCUCGAUGUCGGCUCAUCACAUCCUGGGGCUGAAGUAGGUCCCAAGGGUAUGGCUGUUCGCCAUUUAAAGUGGUACGCGAGCUGGGUUUAGAACGUCGUGAGACAGUUCGGUCCCUAUCUGCCGUGGGCGCUGGAGAAUUGAGGGGGGCUGCUCCUAGUACGAGAGGACCGGAGUGGACGCAUCACUGGUGUUCGGGUUGUCAUGCCAAUGGCACUGCCCGGUAGCUAAAUGCGGAAGAGAUAAGUGCUGAAAGCAUCUAAGCACGAAACUUGCCCCGAGAUGAGUUCUCCCUGAGACUAUAAGUCUCCUGAAGGAACGUUAAAGACGAUGACGUUGAUAGGCCGGGUGUGUAAGCGCAGCGAUGCGUUGAGCUAACCGGUACUAAUGAACCGUGAGGCUUAACCUUACAACGCCGAAG